AUACAUACACAUGUGUGUAUAUACAUACAUACACACACACACGUGUGUAUAUACAUACAUACACAUGUGUGUAUAU